rnacentral:rRNA from 1 species
CCUACGGGUGGCAGCAGUGGGGAAUAUUGGACAAUGGGCGAAAGCCUGAUCCAGCCAUGCCGCGUGUGUGAAGAAGGCCUUCGGGUUGUAAAGCACUUUCAGUGGGGAAGAAAGCCUUGGGGCUAAUACCCUCGAGGAAGGACAUCACCCACAGAAGAAGCACCGGCUAACUCCGUGCCAGCAGCCGCGGUAAUACGGAGGGUGCGAGCGUUAAUCGGAAUUACUGGGCGUAAAGCGCGCGUAGGCGGUCUGAUAAGCCGGUUGUGAAAGCCCCGGGCUCAACCUGGGAACGGCAUCCGGAACUGUCAGGCUAGAGUGCAGGAGAGGAAGGUAGAAUUCCACGUGUAGCGGUGAAAUGCGUAGAGAUCGGGAGGAAUACCGGUGGCGAAGGCGGCCUUCUGGAAUGACACUGACGCUGAGGUGCGAAAGCGUGGGUAGCAAACAGGAUUAGAUACCCUUGUAGUC